AGACUUAUGGAAGCCUGUUGCACUUCUCUUGACUGUGAGCAUUUAAUAGUUUCUUCUCUGCACUUAAUUCCAACAGUCAAUAUAGUCUGAGAGCACAGCACCAGGUCUGUGAAGUCCAUCCAUUUUACAAAUGUUGACUACAACAGGCACAGUAUACCAGCCUUUAAAUUAUAGCCAAUAGAAGCACUGGGACUGCUGCAUUAUUAAGGUCUGCCAAUUAAGUUCCGUAACUUACUAUUAACAAUGCACUAACUUAGAGGAAGAAAAGCUUCCUCACAGUACUCUGGAUAAGAUUAUAUGCAAUCCUUGUUCUUUUGGAGGGGAGGAGAAGGUAACACUUGUCUUGACACUAGGAUAACAAUGAGGCCUGAAAUGCCUUUACUUGGAACUUACUGAUCUUAUGAAAAACCACAGCUGGACUAUGUACAUUCUUAGGUCAGUUACUCCUUAGUCUUAUCUCCCUUGUCCCUCUUUCACACUUUUUCUUCCCAUUGUUACUUCUUUUCUCUACAUCUAAAGAUGUCUCAUUCUCAGAAUAAUUGAUUUUGGUGGACUUGUAUCAUCUACAUGGACCAUGUACAAGAGAGCUGCUCCAGUACAACUCUGCCCCUUCUCUUUGCCCCUGCUCCCCUUGUCAGCCUCUGCAGCAAGCACUGUGCUUUCAGAUCUUAAGGUUUCAGGGUGCUUCAGAGAGCAUCAUAGUAAAGAAGUUAACUUCUCCCUGAGUAUGUAUCUGUGUGUCUCCAAAUCUUGAGAGUCAUAAACUUCACAGAAGAGUGACAGCAGUGCAGGCAGCAAGGAUACCCCAGCAGUCCAGCCCCUGCAGAUGGUUCCACACUGCUGCUGCAUCAGAGCCAGAGGUGUGCUGAGCACAGCAGGAGAAGAUGAAGAUUCAGCACCUUCAGGAGAGCCAGGAAGGGGCUUCAGAACCCUCUCAAGUGGGAAAAGGGUACAGCCAUCACUGUCCUGAUUUCUAAAGGGCAUAUUCCCUGCUUUUCAGUAUCGCAGGGCCUGCCUAAGCCUGCAUACCUUCCCUCUUCAAACAUUGGAUGUAAUUCAUUAAGCAACUUUAGCAAGAGCCUAUUAAGCAUGUAAAAGAAAUGUAUUUCUGUGAUUGAAAGAUCUUGCUAAGUUACACUUCUGUAAGAUCAAUCAAAAGCCUGAAAUAGGAUGUCAUGUAGAACUAAUGGUAGUUGCACAAAAUCUAGAAGGAAAAGACACUGAAAGAGGCAAGCACAGCAACAUGAAACUGCUGAUUUCUGCUUUAGGGACUUAUUCAAAACAUUGAAAUGAGAGAGGGUAGAUUUGCCAUCAUUAUACUGGAAGAAUAAAGAAUGCUUUAAGGUUCA
rnacentral:lncRNA from 1 species